CUACGGGGGGCACCAGUGGGGAAUAUUGCACAAUGGGGGAAACCCUGAUGCAGCAACGCCGCGUGGAGGAUGACGCAUUUCGGUGUGUAAACUCCUUUUAUAUAGGAAGAUAAUGACGGUACUAUAUGAAUAAGCACCGGCUAACUCCGUGCCAGCAGCCGCGGUAAUACGGAGGGUGCAAGCGUUACUCGGAAUCACUGGGCGUAAAGCGCACGCAGGCGGUCUGAUAAGUUGGAUGUGAAAGCCUACGGCUCAACCGUAGAACUGCAUCCAAAACUGUCAGACUAGAGUCUGGGAGGGGAAGAUGGAAUUAGUUGUGUAGGGGUAAAAUCCGUAGAGAUAACUAGGAAUACCAAAAGCGAAGGCGAUCUUCUGGAACAGUACUGACGCUGAGGCGCGAAAGCGUGGGGAGCAAACAGGAUUAGAUACCCCAGUAGUC
rnacentral:rRNA from 1 species